AGUGAACGCUGGCGGCAGGCCUAACACAUGCAAGUCGAGCGGCAGCGGGUCCUUCGGGAUGCCGGCGAGCGGCGGACGGGUGAGGAAUACAUCGGAAUCUGCCCUGUCGUGGGGGAUAACCUAGGGAAACUUAGGCUAAUACCGCAUACGACCCACGGGUGAAAGCGGGGGAUCGCAAGACCUCGCGCGAUAGGAUGAGCCGAUGUCCGAUUAGCUAGUUGGCGGGGUAAAGGCCCACCAAGGCGACGAUCGGUAGCUGGUCUGAGAGGAUGAUCAGCCACACUGGGACUGAGACACGGCCCAG
rnacentral:rRNA from 1 species